GAUGAACGCUGGCGGCGUGCCUAAUACAUGCAAGUCGAGCGAACAGACGAGGAGCUUGCUCCUCUGACGUUAGCGGCGGACGGGUGAGUAACACGUGGAUAACCUACCUAUAAGACUGGGAUAACUUUGGGAAACCGGAGCUAAUACCGGAUAAUAUAUUGAACCGCAUGGUUCAAUAGUGAAGGACGGUUUUGCUGUCACUUAUAGAUGGAUCCGCGCCGCAUUAGCUAGUUGGUAAGGUAACGGCUUACCAAGGCAACGAUGCGUAGCCGACCUGAGAGGGUGAUCGGCCACACUGGAACUGAGACACGGUCCAGACUCCUACGGGAGGCAGCAGUAGGGAAUCUUCCGCAAAGGGCGAAAGCUUGACGGAGCAACGCCGCGUGAGUGAUGAAGGUCUUCGGAUCGUAAAACUCUGUUAUUAGGGAAGAACAAAUGUGUAAGUAACUAUGCACGUCUUGACGGUACCUAAUCAGAAAGCCACGGCUAACUACGUG
rnacentral:rRNA from 1 species